rnacentral:rRNA from 1 species
UACAGAGGUCCCAAGCGUUGUUCGGAAUUACUGGGCGUAAAGAGUGUGUAGGCGGUGCUCCAAGUCUGGUGUGAAAUCUCCCGGCUUAACUGGGAGGGUGCAUUAGAAACUGGAAUGCUAGAGGAUGGGAGAGGUAAGCGGAAUUCCUGGUGUAGCGGUGAAAUGCGUAGAUAUCAGGAGGAACACCUGUGGUGUAGACAGCUUACUGGACCAUUUCUGACGCUGAGACACGAAAGCGUGGGUAGCAAACAGG